AAGUCGUAACAAGGUAUCCGUAGGUGAACCUGCGGAUGGAUCAUUAUAGGAUGUUGGGUGAUUGUGAGUGGUUUUAUUAAUAGUUUGAGCGGUGUUGGUUGGGAUGCGAAGCAGGAUUGCGAAGCAGGAUUGCCAAGCAAGACAGCCAACAUUGCCUCACGUUAAACUCUAUAAAUCUAACAAUUACAUACAAUAAAAAACAACUUUUAGCAACGGAUCUCUUGGCUCUC
rnacentral:misc_RNA from 1 species